rnacentral:tRNA from 1 species
GCGGCGUUCGUCUAGUCUGGCCAGGACAUCAGCCUGCCACGCUGGUAACCCGGGUUCAAAUCCCGGACGCCGCA